CAAGACAGGGCGGAGGUCACCUUGUUUGUCACCUGCGUCCUUUAAAUCCAUCGUCGAUGAAGCUGUGGCAUGGCCUGAUGGUGAUUUCAGAUCCAUCGACGUUGAAGCAGCGACAGGGCCUGAUGGUGAUUGUCUUAAUAUAUACUGAAGGUCCCCUGUACCUUCCCUGUCAUUCAAAAAAACACUGCCCAGGCCUAAGUCUAUCCACCCUUCCUUACUCUGAAUUCCCCUGCUCUAAAUCUAUUUGUGGAUUCGUGAAUGUUUACACUGCAUACUGUUUAUUUCUACAGAAUUUGUGUGCUGAUGUGCUGUGUGGUGAUAUGCAACGGUGCACUUGAGCACACUGACAGAGACACCAUUGACGACAUCAACCUGAACUCUCAUGUUGUAUUCUGCCAGCAGCAUGACUGUUUUCCCCUGAUCUGUAAGUUCAUGGCCUUCCUUAAUUUUAUCUGUUGAAUAAUCCUCCUAUGACCCACCUAUUAGUCAAAUUAUUUCUCUGCCAAUAUGGACAAAUUUCUUUGCCAAGUCUGGUGCCUACCAUUUGUUUGAUAGAAGGCUUCUUAGGAAAUUUGCAUUUAGAGUUAUUUGUAUGGAGAGAGUAUGGAGGCUUACCAUGUGUAGAUACACAUUCAAUACUAAUACUCAUUGCAUUUCAGUUGAGCAGAGUAUGGAGGUCUUUUGGAGAUUUUUGAUAGAUCCUGCUUCAGGCUAUGUGCUUUUACACCUCAACCAAUGAGAGCUGCAAAAAGAAAUGUGUCUUGUAUUAUGAAAUCCUGAGAAAUAAUCAGUUGCGAGAACUCUCUUUCAGUUAUGUUUCAGUGAGAUAAUUAUUAGAGGGAAAAUAUUCUUUACAGUUCAAAAUUGUAAAAAUUGUCUGCUAAUCUUCAUCAUUGUUAUGGUUGUUUGUCACAGAUAGUAUGGAAACCAAUUUUACAGAUAAUUGCAUCAAUUAGAUCUAGAAGUUCGAUUUAGCUACAUAUAUCUUGGUUAUUAAAUAGGUGGGUCUGAGAAUCCACUAGACUUAAUUGAUAAUUGAAGUAGGUAGAUUUAAAGAGCAAACUGGAGUAGAAAUUUGAGUCUCAUCGCUUAUGGGCAUAUGUUACUUUCUUUUUCACUGAUUACAGUUCAUGUGUGCCGUCGUGAUUAUUAAAUUUGUAUUUAGAAUCUGUUAAUAUUGACCAAACGCUAAUUUCCAUGAUGAUUUUAGUUCAACUCUUAGCUAUUUCUGAAAUCUCGCCAUCCCCCUUGAAAGCCCUAGUUUGGUUUUGGAUAAUUGAUGAAACCGUAGUACUAACCUCUAUGCUAAGUGUGUGUAGACUUAAUAAGGUUGGUACAUGCCAAGUGAUGGAGCAAGAGAUGAUCAUGGUGAUGAUGGUGAUGACCUCAAGAUGAUCAAGUGCUCAACUUGGAAAAGAAGAAAGAGAAAAACAAAACCCUAUGGAGAUCAAGGCAAAGGUAUUGCCUAGGGUUUUGGUUUUGGUGAUCAAGACACCAUAGAGGGUGUGAUCACAUUUAGGAUAGAAAGCCGUACUAUUAAGAGGGGUAAUCUCGUUGUGAAAACGGUUGUCUAAGUGCCACUAGGUGAUUGGAUUCCUUGCAUGUGCAUUAGGACCUAGUGAGCUAACUAAGUAACCCUUGAAAAAUGUUUUGAAAUAUGCUAACACUCGUGCACAAUUGUGGAGACACUUUGGUGUUGGCACAUGGAAGCAAGGGUAGAAGUUGAGAAACUUUUCGUGCAGUGCUUUCAGGCCGGACGCGUCCGGUAUGAGGUCGGACGCGUCCGAGUUGAGGCACCGGACGUGGAAACAGUUUUCGCGUAGAGUUCGGUGUGCCUCGUCCGGUGAGUUCGUUUCUCGGUGAAACUCUCUCAGUUUGCAUCCGGUGCACACCGGACGCGUCCGGUGUGAACUAGGAUGCGUCCGAGUUGGCGUCCGGUGCAAACUCCUCUUGCAGAGCUCUCUGGGUGUGAGUCCGGUGCACACCGGACCGUCCCGUGUGUGCGUCCGGUGUGGCGACCGGUGUUGACUCAAGUUUGCGACGCUCUCUGAGUUUGGGUCGGCUACUUUUCUAACGGUCAGGAGCACGGGACGCUAGUCUGGCUCAUACCGGACGCGUCCGGUGUGAACACAGACAGUGGGUUUUCCUGCCAACGGCUAGUUGAAUCUUGGGACUUCUAUUUAUAUGCCUUGGCCGGUUCAUGCUCACUCUCUUGACUCUCUAACUUGUUGAUACACCUUGUGAGCAUACUCCCACACAUCCCACUCACCUUGUUCAAGAUUUGUUCAUCCAAAGUGAGAUUGGGAGAGAUCCUAGUUGCAUUUGCUUAGAGUUUGAGCAUCUAGUGGCACUAGUGAUCGUUGAGCAGCGGGUUUGCUUGUUACUCUUGGUGGUUGCCGCCACCUAGACGGCUUGGAGUUGCGGAGGAGCUUUGGCACGAGUUGGUGAUUGUUCGUGGCCAUCUUCCGGUGAUUGUGAGAGGUUUGUGCCUACCUCGGCGGAGAGCCAAAGGCAAUAUUAGUGGUUUGCUCGUGUCAUUGAGCUACCUCACUUGUGGGUAGGUUCUUGUGGUGUCCUAGUGAGGACGAGGUUCGUGCUACACCUCUUAGCCACCGAACCACCAAGUGUUGGUCGACACAACAGGGACGUAGCGUGCCUGCAAGCAUGUGAACCUCGGGAGAAAAAUUGCUUGUCUCCAUUGUGUUUGUUCAUUGAAUUUCUCCCGGUGAUUCAACUUCAUAUUAUUGAUUGGUUCAUCCCCUCUACGCGGUGGUAUAAAGUUCAAACCUUCUCUCUUACAUUCCCGCAAACUAGAGUAGCUUACUUACUUAUAUAGAAACUUUAGGUAGCUCUCUAGUGUAAGUAGUGACAUAGCUCUUGUGUGCCUAUUGAUCUUAACAACUAGAAUUGUUGGAUAGGUGGCUUGCAAACACCCCUUUAGAUCUAGAGCAAAAAGCUUCGCUUUGUUAUUUACUAACCUCUUGCUCUAGUGAGUUUGUAGAAUUUUUAAAUAGGAUAUUCAUCCCCACUCUAGCCAUAUUAGGACCUUUCAAGUGGUAUCAUAGCCGUGGUCACCGUUUGUGAAGGCUUAACAACCUCGGUGCUCAAAUUAUGGCUCAAAUAGUGUUCAACCAUGUUGGGGGCAAACCACCGUUCUUUGAUGGCACAAGCUCUUUUGACUAUUGGAAGAGAAAAAUGAAGAUGUGCCUUGGAUCAAUCAAUGAUAGAGUGUGGGAAGUCACCGAAAAUGACUUUGUGAUUCUUGAUCCGGCUAACCCCACCGACAAUGAGAGAGCAAACAAGCAAUGCAAUACUAUGGCUCUCAACACAAUAUACAAUGGCAUUGAUUCAAAGGUGUUUGAGCAAGUCAAAGAUCUUGAGAAGGCUAGUGAAGUGUGGACAAGGCUAGAAGAAACAUAUGAGGGCACUACAACGGUAAAAAGUGCCAAAUUGUAUAUGCUCAAGGACAAGCUAUCCAACUUCAAGAUGAAGGAUGAUGAGUCCAUACCAGAGAUGUUCUAUAGGCUCCAAGUCAUCAUCAAUGAUCUCAAGGGCCUAGGUGAGAAGGUGAAGGAUGAGGACUUUAUUCACAAGUUCUUGAUGUGCUUGCCCAAGAGGUUCAAGACAUUGAGAACAAUCAUCUUUAGAGGUGGAUUGAUGGGUGUAUCUCCCAAUGAGGUACUUGGAGAUGUCAUGACCGAAGAUCAAUACAAUGACAAUGAUGAUGAUGAGGUCAUGAAGAAGGAUGAUGAUGACAAGAAGAAGAAGAGUGUAGCAUUCAAAACUAGCUCUUCAUCCAAGAGCAAGAACAAGGGCAAGGCCAAGAAGGAAGAAUCAAGUGAUGAGGAGUGCUCCAAUGAUGAUAGUGAUGAUGAAGCACUAGCACUCUUUGUCCGCAAGUUUGGCAAGAUGAUGAAGAAGAAGGGCUAUCACACAAGAAAGAGAAGAGAUCACUUCAAGAACAAGGAGCAUGUGAGGCUAUGCUAUAAGUGCAAGAGCCCCGAUCAUAUUGUGGCGGAUUGUCCUUACAAUAGUGACAAUGAUGAGCAUGACAAGAAGAACAAGAAGGAGAAGAAAGAAAAGAAAGAGAAGAAGAUGGUCUUCAAGAAGAAGAAGAAGGGUGGAUCCUAUGUUGUGACAUGGGAUAGUGAUGCUUCUUCAGAUGAUGAUUCUAGUGAUGAUGACAAGUCAUCCAAGAAGAAGGCACUUGCAAGCAUUGCUAUCAACAACAAGCCAUCACUCUUCGACACUCCUUCGUGCUUCAUGGCCAAGGGCCACAAGGUACAAUAUGAUGAGAGUGAAAGUGAAAGUGAACAUGAACAUAAUAGUGAUAGUGAUGAUGAAAAUGAAUUCACUAAUGAACAACUCAUGGAUAUGUUAGAACAAGCCGAUUCACUUAUUCAAUCUAAAAACAAGAAGUGCAAAGAAUUGGCCAAGAAGUUAAAAGCUCUUGAACAAUCCUUUGAUGAGCUCAAUGCUAAUCAUGAGAGGCUAGUGGAAGCCCAUGAGAAGCUUGGCAAGGCUCACACCAAGCUUGAGAAAGCUCACUCAUUGUUGUUAGAAGAGAACAAGGAAAAGGUUGUUGUAUCAUGUGACGUGGGCACAACAUGUGACUUAAUUAAAAAAUCACCCAACUCAUCUAUUAUUGUUGCCACUAACUCUUCUUGUAGGUCUUCAUCCACCACCACCAACUCUACCUCUACCUCUAGUGUAAGUGUCACUUGUGAUACCUCACUAAAGGUUGAGAAUGAGACUCUCAAGAGAGAGGUGGAUGAGCUCACUCACGCCCUAGGCAAGGCCUAUAGUGGUGAGGUCCGCUUGCUAAAGUGCUUGGGUAGCCAAAGGUUUUCUCUCAACAAAGAGGGAUUAGGCUAUACCCCCAAGAAGGGCAAGAAAGCCUUUGCAACUCACAAGCAUAGCUUUGUGAAGAGCAAUGUUCGGUAUUGCAACAAAUGCAAGCAAGUUGGGCACCUAGAGCUUAAUUGUAACAAAAUAAACAAGAACAAGAAAAAUGCUAAUGCACCUUACAUUCCUUUUGAUUCUUGUUAUGUGCUUACUAAGGGUGAGAAGGGUGUGCAUGCUAAGUUUGUUGGUACACCAAUUGUGGGUCCAAAGAAGAAGGCCAUUUGGAUACCAAAGAGCUUAGUCACUAACCUCCAAGGACCCAAGCAAGUAUGGGUACCUAAGAAACAUUGAUUUGUUUUGUAGGUAAACUAUAAAGCCGGAGGAAGGCAUUGGGUGCUUGAUAGUGGGUGCACACAACACAUGACCAGUGAUUCAAGAAUGUUCAAUUCAAUCAAUCCAAAUGAUGAUCAUGGUGUUGAUAGUAUCACAUUUGGUGACAAUGGCAAAGGCAAGGUCAAAGGGCUUGGUAAAAUUGCUAUAUCCAAUGACUUGAGCAUUUCCAAUGUGCUACUAGUAGAGAGCUUGAACUUCAACUUGUUAUCCGUAGCUCAACUUUGUGAUCUUGGUUUCAAAUGCAUAUUUGGAGUUGAUGAUGUAGAGAUCAUAAGUGUAGAUGGCUCUAACUUGAUAUUCAAAGGCUUUAGAUAUGAGAAUCUAUACUUGGUUGAUUUCAAUGCUAGUGAAGCUCAAUUGUCAACAUGCUUGCUCACUAAAUCUAGCAUGGGUUGGUUAUGGCAUAGAAGGCUUGGUCAUGUUGGAAUGAAACAAUUAAACAAGUUAGUCAAGCAUGAUCUUGUUAGAGGAUUGAAAGAUGUCACAUUUGAGAAAGACAAGCUUUGUAGUGCAUGUCAAGCCGGAAAGCAAGUUGGCAACACUCAUCCAAAGAAAAGCAUCAUGAGUACAUGCAAGGCAUUUGAGUUGUUGCACAUGGACUUGUUUGGACCAACCACAUACACAAGCAUUGGUGGAAACAAAUAUGGAUUUGUGAUAGUGGAUGAUUUCACAAGAUACACAUGGGUAUUCUUUCUUAGUGACAAGAGUGAUGCUUUUGCAACCUUCAAAUCAUUUGUCAAGAGAAUACACAAUGAGUUUGAAACAACCAUCAAGAAAGUGAGAAGUGACAAUGGAAGCGAAUUAAAGAAUACAAGAGUUGAUGAGCUUUGUGAUGAAUUUGGCAUUAGGCAUCAAUUCUCGGCCAAGUACACUCCACAAUCAAAUGGUCUUGUUGAAAGGAAGAAUAGAACCUUGAUUGACAUGGCAAGAUCAAUGUUGAGUGAGUACAAUGUGAGUCAUUCUUUUUGGGCCGAAGCAAUCAACACGGCUUGCUACUAUAGCAACCGACUCUAUUGUCACCCAAUGAUGGAGAAGACACCAUAUGAGCUCUUGAAUGGAAGAAAUCCCAAUAUUGCAUACUUUCGGGAUUUUGGUUGCAAAUGCUACAUAUUGAAGAAAGGCACUAGAUUGUGUAAAUUUGAAAAGAAAUGUGAUGAAGGAUUCUUGCUUGGUUACUCUACUAGCAAAGCUUAUAGAGUUUGGAAUUUGGCUAGUGGUACUCUUGAGGAGGUGCAUGAUGUUGAGUUUGAUGAAACAAAUGGCUCUCAAGAGGAAGAUGAGAAUCUAGAUGAUGUGAGAGGCACUCAAUUGGCCGAUGCAAUGAAGAAUAUGGACAUUGGUGAUUUAAGGCCAAGAGAGGUGAUUGAUGUUGAAGAUGACAAAGAUCAAGUGCUUCCUACCUCUAAUAUGCAAGCUAGUGGUUCUCAUGAUCAAAAUCAAGCUAGUACAAGUGGUACACAAGUGCAAGAUCAACAAGCUAGUACAUCAUCUCAUGAUCAACCAAGUGCAAGAAAUCAAGUGCAAAUACUCCAACCAACAAAUAUGGAUCAUAUUAUCGGUGAUAUUUCAAGAGGUGUGCAAACUAGAUCAAGAUUGGCAUCAUUUUGUGAACAUUUCUCAUUUAUAUCAUCCAUUGAACCAAAGAAAAUAGAAGAAGCUUUGAUAGAUGUUGAUUGGGUUAAUGCUAUGCAUGAAGAGCUUAACAAUUUUAAGAGAAAUCAAGUAUGGGAAUUAGUUGAGAGGCCUAGUGAUCAUAAUGUCAUUGGUACUAGAUGGGUCUUUCGCAACAAGCAAGAUCAAGAUGGGAUAGUUGUAAGAAACAAAGCAAGAUUGGUAGCACAAGGCUAUACUCAAGUCGAAGGUCUUGACUUUGGUGAAACAUAUGCCCCGGUUGCAAGAUUGGAAGCAAUUAGGAUCUUGUUGGCCUAUGCUUGUGCACAUAAUAUCAAGUUAUAUCAAAUGGAUGUGAAAAGUGCAUUUCUCAAUGGUUAUAUCAAUGAAGAAGUAUAUGUUGAGCAACCUCCCGGUUUUGAAGAUGACAAGAAACCCAACCAUGUUUACAAGCUAAGAAAGGCAUUGUAUGGUUUGAAGCAAGCACCUAGAGCAUGGUAUGAGAGAUUGAGAGAUUUCUUACUCUCUAAAGGUUUCAAGAUGGGCAAGGUUGACACCACUCUCUUCACCAAGAAGAUUGGCAAGGACUUGUUUGUGUUGCAAAUCUAUGUUGAUGAUAUCAUAUUUGGAUCAACCAAUCAAGAAUUUUGUGAGGAGUUUGGCAACAUGAUGGCUAAUGAGUUUGAGAUGUCAAUGAUUGGAGAGCUUAGCUACUUCCUUGGUCUUCAAAUCAAGCAAUUGAAGAAUGGCACAUUUGUGAGUCAAGGCAAGUACAUAAAAGACAUGCUCAAGAAGUUUGGUAUGGAUCAUGCAAAAUCAAUUAGCACACCAAUGGGAACAAAUGGAAGCCUAGAUAGUGAUACAAGUGGAAAUAUGGUGGAUCAAAAGUUGUAUCGGUCCAUGAUUGGAAGCCUACUCUAUGUGACCGCAUCAAGACCGGAUGUCAUGUUUAGUGUAUGCAUGUGUGCAAGAUUCCAAGCCUCACCAAGAGAAAGCCAUUUGAAGGAAACAAAGAGAAUAUUGAGGGACUUGAAGCAUACACAAAAUGUUGGUUUGUGGUAUCCCAAAGGUGCAAAGUUUGAACUUGUUGGAUAUUCCGAUUCGGACUAUGCGGGAUGCAAAGUUGAAAGAAGGAGCACAUCGGGCACAUGUCAACUAUUGGGAAGAUCACUUGUCUCAUGGUCAUCCAAGAAGCAAAAUAGUGUUGCACUAUCAACCGCCGAAGCGGAGUACAUUGCGGCCGGUAGUUGUUGUGCACAAAUUCUAUGGAUGAAGGCAACAUUGAAAGAUUUUGGAAUCAACUUCAAGCAAGUGCCAUUGCUAUGUGACAAUGAAAGUGCCGUGAAGCUCACCAACAAUCCGGUUCAACACUCAAGAACAAAGCAUAUAGAUGUCCGCCAUCAUUUCAUAAGAGAUCACCAACAAAAAGAGGACAUUUGCAUUGAGAGUAUAGGCACCGAUGAUCAACUUGCCGAUAUAUUCACCAAGCCACUUGAUGAGAAGAGGUUUUGCAAGCUAAGGAAUGAAUUGAACAUACUUGACUUCUCAAAUAUGUGUUGAUGCACCCCCACUUUAUGACAUGCCUCUCCUUCAAGCAAAGCAAGGUAAAAUUGUUUGACAUGUCAUCCAUCCUAUGCUAAGGACUUGUGUAGAGCAUCUAGUCAUUCCCUACAUGUCUUAGGCUCAUUCAUGAAAUUCAAAUGAAUUUGAUGCUUGUAUGGUACCACUAUUGCUUCUAUGCAUUACUUGAUCUAGUGGUAGCAUAUGACAUGUUUGUGGGCUUGCAAAUCCUAGUGUUUGAUCUAGAAUAUGAGCUAUAAGUGUUUAACUCAACAUGGUACAAGAUAACCCUUAUUUGGAGGUGUGGAGAAGCUUGUCCUUGGAUCAAACCGAGUUAAUUAUCUUAGGCAAGUAAUCUAGAUUGGACCAAUUUGGGAAAAUGAUCUCACUACACAUGGUUUCACACUAACCUAUCUAAAAUUUGAACUCACCUUUUGUGGUCUUUGAUGACAAAGGGGGAGAAAAUUUCCAAAGAUUUAAGAUAGGUAAGUAACAUGAUAAAAGAAGGGGAUCAAUUAAAAUUUUGAAGCACACAAGUAGGGGGAGCAAGCUCAUUAACUUGUUUGUUGCAUUUGAAUGUGCAUCACAUAUGGUUGCUUGCAUUUGCAUUAGUUUUAGAAACUUUCUCUCCGAUGCCUUGCUUGUGUGGUGUAUGCUAGUUAUAGGUUUGAUUGAUGAAAUAAAGAAUUAGCAUGCAUAGGUAGUAUAACUAGACUUUUAGUUAUUUCACAAGUGGUACUAGAACCUUGUUUAUAAUGUUGAUCUCACGGGGUGUUCUAGUUUUGUGAAUGUCUAGUUACUAAUGGUGCUAAGGAUGGUGUAUAUUGGCAACUCCAAUUGGUAUCACGCUUCAAAGGUCCAUUCUUUACACCUUAGCAUCAUUUGGUAGAAAUUGACUCCUAUAUUUCCUAUUCAAGCAUAUGUGCAAGCUUUCAAAUCCAAACUCUUAGCACAUAUGUAGGGGGAGCAAUUGCUACCAAUUUGGGUUUAUGAAACUUGUCCAUAACCUUUGCACAUGGUAAAAUGCUUGGACAAGCAACAUGAAUCCAAGAAAAUUUUAUUGAAAAUCUUUGUAAAAAGGGUUGUCAUCAAUUACCAAAAAGGGGGAGAUUGAAAGCCCUAGUUUGGUUUUGGAUAAUUGAUGAAACCCUAGUACUAACCUCUAUGCUAAGUGUGUGUAGACUUAAUAAGGUUGGUACAUGCCAAGUGAUGGAGCAAGAGAUGAUCAUGGUGAUGAUGGUGAUGACCUCAAGAUGAUCAAGUGCUCAACUUGGAAAAGAAGAAAGAGAAAAACAAAACCCUAUGGAGAUCAAGACAAAGGUAUUGCCUAGGGUUUUGGUUUUGGUGAUCAAGACACCAUAGAGGGUGUGAUCACAUUUAGGAUAGAAAGCCGUACUAUUAAGAGGGGUAAUCUCGUUGUGAAAACGGUUGUCUAAGUGCCACUAGGUGAUUGGAUUCCUUGCAUGUGCAUUAGGACCUAGUGAGCUAACUAAGUAACCCUUGAAAAAUGUUUUGAAAUAUGCUAACACUCGUGCACAAGUGUGGAGACACUUUGGUGUUGGCACAUGGAAGCAAGGGUAGAAGUUGAGAAACUUUUCGCGCAGUGCUUUCAGGCCGGACGCGUCCGGUAUGAGGUCGGACGCGUCCGAGUUGAGGCACCGGACGUGGAAACAGUUUUCGCGUAGAGUCCGGUGUUCCUCGUCUGGUGAGUUCGUUUCUCGGUGAAACUCUCUGAGUUUGGGUCCGGUGCACACCGGACGCGUCCGGUGUGAACUAGGACGCGUCCGAGUUGGCGUCCGGUGCAAACUCCUCUUGCAGAGCUCUCUGGGUGUGAGUCCGGUGCACACCGGACCGUCCGGUAUGUGCGUCCGGUGUGGCGACUGGUGUUGACUCAAGUUUGCGACGCUCUCUGAGUUUGGGUCCGGUGCAUACCGGACGCGUCCGGUGUGACACCGGACGCGUCCGGUAUUUCAAAAGUGAGCAUCCGGUGCCUUGACAGUGUCAGAGGCAACGACUACUUUUCUAACGGUCAGGAGCACCGGACGCUGGUCUGGCUCAUACCGGACGCGUCCGGUGUGAACUAGACGCGUCCGGUGUGAACGCAGACAGUGGUUUUCCUGCCAAUGGCUAGUUGAAGCUUGGGACUUCUAUUUAUAUGCCUUGGCCGGUUCAUGCUCACUCUCUUGACUCUCUAACUUGUUGAUACACCUUGUGAGCAUACUCCCACACAUCCCACUCACCUUGUUCAAGAUUUGUUCAUCCAAAGUGAGAUUGGGAGAGAUCCUAGUUGCAUUUGCUUAGAGUUUGAGCAUCUAGUGGCACUAGUGAUCGUUGAGCAGCGGGUUUGCUUGUUACUUUUGGUGGUUGCCGCCACCUAGACGGCUUGGAGCUGCGGAGGAGCUUUGGCACGAGUUGGUGAUUGUUCGUGGCCAUCUUCCGGUGAUUGUGAGAGGUUUGUGUCUACCUCGGCGGAGAGCCAAAGGCAAUAUUAGUGGAUUGCUCGUGUCAUUGAGCUACCUCACUUGUGGGUAGGUUCUUGUGGUGUCCUAGUGAGGACGAGGUUCGUGCUACACCUCUUAGCCACCGAACCACCAAGUGUUGGUCGACACAACGGGGACGUAGCGUGCCGGCAAGCACGUGAACCUCGGGAGAAAAAUUGCUUUUCUCCAUUGUGUUUGUUCAUUGAAUUUCUCCCGGUGAUUGGACUUCAUAUUAUUGAUUGGUUCAUCCCCUCUACGCGGUGGUAUAAAGAUCAAACCUUCUCUCUUACAUUCCCGCAAACUAGAGUAGCUUACUUACUUAUAUAGAAACUUUAGGUAGCUCUCUAGUGUAAGUAGUGACAUAGCUCUUGUGUGCCUAGUGAUCUUAACAACUAGAAUUGUUGGAUAGGUGGCUUGCAAACACCCCUUUAGAGCUAGAGCAAAAAGCUUCGCUUUGUUAUUUACUAACCUCUUGCUCUAGUGAGUUUGCAGAAUUUUUAAAUAGGCUAUUCACCCCUCUCUAGCCAUAUUAGGACCUUUCACCCCUUCCUCCUAAUGUUUCACUCAUUUUUAGGACCUAUGAACGUCGCAAGCCAGUUCCAUGUGCCAUUAUCAUGCUGCAAAUAGUAAAUGUAUUUAUAUAAUAAUUUUCUAGUCUUUUGUUUUCGUCAUGUUAGUUGGUAGAAUGGAUAUACUGAUGGAUACAUUUAUCUAAUAUUUCCCGCUUUGUCCAAGCAUUACCUAUCAGAGCUUUCCCCUUCGUACUUAUAUUUGUUUGUUAGGUAUCAACUAACUUUACAUUCGAGCUGGGAGAUCCAAUAUUUUAGGGACUAUGCUAAACAUAUGGAUAGAGGCUGUAGUUAUGGACAUUUAGUUUGAGUUGAACUUUUCUUUUGCUUUUCUAUGUCUCAGCUGACUAUAUUUUCCUGCUAGGUUUUUUCUUCUUGAUUAGAAAGAAAAUUAGUGAAGACCACCACAAAUGGAUAUAUGCAGUCUUGGCCCUUCUGACCUUUUUGUGACUUUCACAUCGGAACAAAAAUGGAGAGAGGUAGCAUAUGCCUUGCAAUUCAUGUUUGGACAACUACAUCUACAUGCGAUUAUUCUGAUUUAAAAGACCAUGUCUUCAGUAUGAAAGUUGAUCAUUUCGAGCGGAUAUUAGGGAGGACACAACAUUUAUGAGGCAAAGCUCUAGAUUCUAGGAAAGAAAAGAUAGGUUUCUUCAGAGGUAGAAUGCCAUAAAAAGAUAGAUACCUACAUGCAUCAGGGGUACUUCUAGGUGAAGAGGUAGAACUUCAAACUAAAUAUCCAUACUUUUUUUUAUCUUCAUAUAGAUGUCAUACCACCUAAAAAUGAUUCUAAACACAACUGUUUGAAUGUUAUCCUGCAGUGAGACAAAAAUUUGAAACUUGGUGACCUAACAUAUGUAUCUGAAUUUCUUGGUCCUCUAAACAACAGUACUCUUGGCCUCUCAUGUUUACAGUGCAGUCAAAGAUUACUAAUCAGCAAAGAAGGUCAUGGUGCUUUGGCCUCACCAGUUGCAGCGGAGUGGUGAUCGACAUGCAUCUGAGACCUCAUUUGCAACUGCAGUUCACCAAUCUUUUAAUUUGUAUAUAGCAUUAUAUAUCUACUCUGAGAUCACGAUAUAUCUAGAGGGGCAUUAUAAACUACUGGCUUUAGUGUUGGAUUAUGACCAUGAACUGUAAUAGAUGGGUAUGUAAUGUAUGACCUGAUAGAACCAUAAUAGCUAUGGUAGCAAUACAUGAUACACGUGAUGAAGGAUCAUUUAAUUAAUCUGUCCAAACAUAACCAUAUUGGCUGUGAUGACUAUACACUUGUUAUAUGUUAAUACUUCAUGAUUUGUGCUAAGUAUCUGGUGAUAUGAUAUCUUCAAUCUAAUGCUAUAGUAAUAGUUGUUAUAACUCUACUUAGUAUCAGUGGUUACAAUUGUGCUUCGUAUCUUUGUCAUAUGAAUUGACUUUCCCUCACAUCAUUGCAGGGCGCCCGAAGGGCGCCUAAUGCUCUAGUUGUUUGUAAUGUAAGACGUUGUUAGUGGUAGAUUUAGCUCUAGAUGUUUAUAACAAAGUUGUUCACAAUUUAGUAAGCUUUCUAGAAAGUACAUAACCAUAAUUUAUGGGCUUAUGAAACUCAAGUUAUGGCUGUUUAAUGUGGCAUGAUAGGUUCCAUCCAUGUUUUGGACAGAGAUGUCUUUAUGGGGCUUGAUAAAUGUUUUAUAAUUAUAAAUAAAAUCUAAAAAUGGAAAAUGUUGUUCCAGUACAAUUCUGUGAUACUGUUGUAUCAUGUUGAUAUAUAUUAUGGUCAUGAGUUUGAAGAAAAUGUGAGUUUUAGAUUUAUCUUGCUCUCACAUGGUUAAUUGCAAUAGCAAUUUGUCUUUUUCAUAGAGACCGCUAUGUUUGUUAAAAUACAAUGAAAUUUGUAUAAUAGUCUAUUUAUAGUAUGUAGAGGCUACUGUAAUUUUGGUGGAAUUUACUGUGUACUUUUGGUAUAUGUUCUUUAAUUCACCUUAUUAUCCAAAUAAUUUAAGAAAUGCAUUAAAUAAAUUUAUUUGGUAGUGACCACUAUGUUUUCUGGUGUUCUUUAGAUAUGUGCAAACUGUUGGUAACAAUGGUUUUGCUCAAAGGCAUGUUUGAAACAUAAGUUAAAAAUUAAUUGUUUACAAUAUGUAAAUGAUGUUUUCUGGGAAUCUUGUUUAUAGCAAAGUUGUAGAUAAUUCACCAGUCUACCUGCUGUUAAAAUUUGGUAGUAUUUGGCCUUGUGGUUUGUGAGUUAUGUCUGUUCCAAGUUGGAUUCCAGAAAUGGCUGCUCUCUGUUUAUCAGGGACAGAUUCUGGAAAUUUAUAAUUUCGACCAGCUUAAGUUGCGAAUCAUGCUUUGAUGACUAAAUAUGAAAUGCAGAUAAUUUCUUAAGCUUUCCAUAAUGUCUCAAUUCAUGUCUUUUGGGGUUGUGUAACUCCAGUUAUGAUUUAUUUACUCAGCUGCUGUUAACAGUCCUAAAAAUGGCAGAUUUCUUUUAUUGCUGUUGCUUGGUAUAUUGCUAUGUAUGACUCAUGUCUUUGAUAAUGGCCAAGUAAUUACACCUGAGAUCUUGUGAAACAUGUAUGCCAUGCCUGAUAUACUUGGUUGCAUUCUUUGUUGUCUUAGCAUGUUGGUUGUGUAAUCAUUAAGUUGAGCAGUGAGAUAUGCUUAAGUAUGUUUAGUGUAACCAUGCUCUUGUCAUUCUUCUUGUGUGUGAUGCUUUGUCUAUUGCACUUCUAUAUGUUCAUGCACUUGCAUCUUGCAUCUCAUUUAGGUACGCUAGAUGAACCACGUGAAGGACGUGAUGGUGGACCUAUCGGGAUGAUGGAAGGACUACACAAGUGUUGUCAUCUUAGAUGUCACCAAGACGGAGCAAGCUAACUAAUUUGACUCGGUGUCACAUUCCAGGCAAGCCCCAGAGUAUUAUAAGCCUCCUACUUUUUGAAAGUGAAUGAGUAUAUAUAUGUUACAUAUGUAUUGUUGCAUUAAGUAUAGCAGUUGGAUGAAACCCUUGCUGCAUAUAUAUACCUUCCUUGUCCAGUAUAUAUAUAACCUGAAUCCUAAUUAGUCAGGAUCACGUCUAUGCUUAGCCAUGCUUAGCUCGGUUGAAGCCAGGUGAUUUCCUGUCACCUGCGGGAUAUAGGUGGAUUCCGGAUCACGGUUGGCUAUAUUUGCAAUCGUGGAAAAUAACCAUGUGUUAAUAAUAUGAAAGGAGACCGGGCGGGAUGAUGAUAGUGAUGCAACAAGGCAUGGAGGUCUUGGGUGUGGAUCUAUGCCCGUCUGUGUCGAUUAAGAACCGAUCGUUGUACGUCCUCUUGUCAUGUUGAACGCCUGCCUGACACUUAGUUGGCCGAAUAAGUCGUUCCGACCGCGAAGCCUAGUAGUAUGACUCGGGCCGGAAGACCGACAAGUAUAAAGUGCGGUGUGCGGGGGGGCAUUGGCGUAAGACCAAAGGCAGGUGAGUUAAAAGUCCAGACCUCCUUGGCAGAGUGGCAGCCCUAGGAGUGCGGCGCUGAUCGGAGCCGCGAUUCCUGAGUCGUACCAAAGGUGACCCACUUGCUCUCCGACGGGGGAAGCAUGGGUGAGUGUUGGGAAGAACCCUCCAGCUAGAUAGGAAUCGAUUUGAAUCGCCGUCUCUCCCGGAUAGUGAGAACUUGACAGAGCAGCGGCAAACGUAGCAUUCACUAAUAACUUAAUGGUUCUAUGAUGAUGAUGAUGAUCAUAGCCUCGAUAAACCUGAUAUGGUUAUUAUUGAUUGAUAUUAAUCAAGUGAUUGCUAUAGUACAGGUGCUAAUCUAGUUGAUAGGUUAAUGAGAAUUAAAUGGAUGCUAAAUAAGAAAGGUUUAACUAUUUAUACUUAAACUUUUUAUGCAAAAUGUUGUCCAACAAGCUCCACUUAUAUAUCAGCCUUGCAUACUCCUUGGUGUCAUUUAUUUCUAGUUUAUGACGGGUAAGUCUAGUUGAGUACAUUCUCGUACUCAGGGUUUAUUCCCACUUGUUGCAGGUUGUGAUGUAUCAUAGCUACUGCAAGAUUUGGAUGACUCCUGCUAUAGGGAAGGAGUAAGAUCAUGGGUAUGAUGCUUCCUACUUACCCAUCUAUGAUGCAUUUGUUGGAAUGGACCAUGGUACUGGCAUGUAUUUGAAAUAAAAGUGAUAUUGGUUUCAAAUUACUUUGCUUAUGCUAUUUGUAAACUUGAGUUGUAAUAACCUUAUCGAACUAUGAUGUAUUUGAACUACUUGCGAAAUGUAUGUAAUGUGUGACUUGUUAUGUUGAAUCACUACGAUCUUGGCUUGUAUGUUGGUUGGUUCGAAAUCCCUCGUAAUUUUGUUG
rnacentral:lncRNA from 1 species